UCGGACGUGGUGCACGACACACACCCGCUCUUCUUAUGGGGGCGAAAGACUUCGAAACAGAUGAAAGUGCGAGGCCUGGGUUCGACUCCCAGCGUCCGAA